rnacentral:lncRNA from 1 species
CAAUGAUCCAGAUCCUCCUGCACACGAAGGAUUCAGCACAAGCUGGGCAAGCAGAGAGAUAACUUUUGCCUAAUUUGUGCUGAGCUAAGGAGCAGGAACAGGGGACUGCAGACAGGUUCUGGUGGUUUGGGCUCUGAAAAGAGCUUUUCCAGGAGUGCCUCUCAGGAUGAGUGUGCUGCAUGGAGCAAAGGGGAGGCUGGAGCCCCAGUGCUGCUGCUUUCAGUCCUGCAAAGGGGAGGCAGCUUUUGCUUCCUCCAGCUUCCCCCGGCUUCCCAGGGUGCUCUCUGACCAGCUCAUUUUAGCACAGCAUGAGCAUCUCACUGUUGAUAACUUUUAUUUUGCAAGAAUUCUGUGUCUCUGGCCCCCAUCAACAUCUCCUGUGCAUGGGCACUGAGGCAACUACUGAAACGUGUUAAGUAUUAACACACAGCAAAGAUUUCCAGAAUACCAUUUGUGUUUUCUUAGAGGUUUAGGAAAGAAGAACUGCCACCUUACCAGUAGAAAACUUUCAAAAUAGAUAUUAGUCAGUCAAAAAAAAAAAAUAAAGACAAAAAUAAAGACA